rnacentral:rRNA from 1 species
AUUGAACGCUGGCGGCAUGCCUUACACAUGCAAGUCGAACGGUAACGGGCCUUCGGGUGCCGACGAGUGGCGAACGGGUGAGUAAUACAUCGGAACGUGCCCGAUCGUGGGGGAUAACGAGGCGAAAGCUUUGCUAAUACCGCAUACGAUCUACGGAUGAAAGCAGGGGACCGCAAGGCCUUGCGCGGACGGAGCGGCCGAUGGCAGAUUAGGUAGUUGGGGGGAUAAAAGCUUACCAAGCCGACGAUCUGUAGCUGGUCUGAGAGGAUGAUCAGCCACACUGGGACUGAGACACGGCCCAGACUCCUACGGGAGGCAGCAGUGGGGAAUUUUGGACAAUGGGCGCAAGCCUGAUCCAGCCAUGCCGCGUGCAGGAUGAAGGCCUUCAGGUUGUAAACUGCUUUUGUACGGAACGAAAAGCCUUCUUUUAAUACAGGAGGGUCAUGACGGUACCGUAAGAAUAAGCACCGGCUAACUACGUG